rnacentral:rRNA from 1 species
UCAGGUGGCCGCAGAGAAUAGGCCCAAGCGACUGUUUACCAAAAACAUAGGUUUCUGCUAAGUCGCAAGACGAUGUAUAGGAGCUGACGCCUGCCCGGUGCUGGUAGGUUAAGGGGAUCUGUUAGAGCAAUCGAAGCAGUGAACUUAAGCCCCAGUAAACGGCGGCCGUAACUAUAACGGUCCUAAGGUAGCGAAAUUCCUUGUCGGGUAAGUUCCGACCCGCACGAAAGGCGUAACGAUUUGGGCACUGUCUCAACAACAGACUCGGUGAAAUUGUAAUUCCGGUGAAGAUGCCGGAUACCUGCGACAGGACGGAAAGCCCCCAUGGAGCUUUUCUGUAGCUUGACAUUGGGU